UUGUGAUAUAAUAGUAUACUAUAAUAUGUACAGAAAGAACUUAAUUUCUUAAUCACUAGGUGCAUGCAUACCAAUAUUAAAAAAAAAACGGUUACUAAAAAUCCAACACAAAUAAAAUUCUAAUGGAAAGUUGUUAGUUUUUUUUUUUUUUUUUGUUUUGCGAUAGGUUCUAUUUGGAAUUAUAAUGUAUGAUACGCAUUGAUUAUAUACGUCGGCAAAGGUCUUUAUACCCGUACCUCUAGUUUCUAAGAAUUCUUGAUUACGAUGAUUGUUCAUUAUAAUAAUUUUGUAUAAUUGUUAUCUAAUUAUAAAUCACUUGAUCUCUGACAGCGUAUAUAACUUUUAUUUCGUUAUCAAACGUAUUAAAUGAAAAUAUUAUAGUUCUACUUUUUCACGUUGUAUUCGUAACGACCAUCGCAUAUAAUAUACGAGAACAAAACACUCAGUAGGUAUAAAUUAUACACAUUUAUAUACAUUAUUAUCUACGCACAGAUAAUUUAAGAGACACUUAUUCAUACAUAACGACGAUGUUUUUAUUUUAUUUUUAUAAUUCGUUUUACCGAUUUCUUAUCACAGUUCGAACGAUUACAGUAUAAAUUAUUUUUUUUUAUUCUCCGUC